UUGGAGGGCAAGUCUGGUGCCAGCAGCCGCGGUAAUUCCAGCUCCAAUAGCGUAUAUUAAAGUUGUUGCAGUUAAAAAGCUCGUAGUUGAAUUUCGAGACCGGCUUAUUGGUCGUGCUAUUGUACGUACUGGUAUAAUCGGUUUCUCCUUUCUGACGAACUAUAAUGCCAUUAAUUUGGUGUUUUAGGGAAUCAGGACUGUUACUUUGAAAAAAUUAGAGUGUUUAAAGCAGGCUCACGCUUGAAUACAUUAGCAUGGAAUAACGGAAUAGGACGUUUGAUUCUAUUUUGUUGGUUUCUAGGAUCGACGUAAUGAUUAAUAGGGAUAGUUGGGGGCAUUAGUAUUCAAUUGUCAGAGGUGAAAUUCUUGGAUUUAUUGAAGACUAACUACUGCGAAAGCAUUUGCCAAGGAUGUUUUCAUUAAUCAAGAACGAAAGUUAGGGGAUCGAAGACGAUCAGAUACCGUCGUAGUCUUAACCAUAAACUAUGCCGACUAGGGAUCGGAUGAUGUUAAUUUUUUAAUGACUCAUUCGGCGCCUUACGGGAAAC
rnacentral:rRNA from 3 species